rnacentral:rRNA from 1 species
AACGAACGCUGGCGGCAGGCUUAACACAUGCAAGUCGAACGGUUGUAGCAAUACAGCAGUGGCGCACGGGUGAGUAACGCGUGGAUAUCUGCCUUUUGGUUCGGAAUAACUCCGGGAAACUGGAGCUAAUACCGGAUGGUUCCUACGGGAUAAAGAUUUAUCGCCAAAAGAUGAGUCCGCGUACGAUUAGCUAGUUGGUGAGGUAAUGGCUCACCAAGGCGACGAUCGUUAGCUGGUCUGAGAGGACGAUCAGCCACACUGGGACUGAGACACGGCCCAGACUCCUACGGGAGGCAGCAGUGGGGAAUAUUGGACAAUGGGGGCAACCCUGAUCCAGCCAUGCCGCGUGAGUGAUGAAGGCCUUCGGGUUGGUAAAGCUCUUUUGGUCGGGGACGAUGAUGACGGUACCCGCAGAAUAAGCCCCGGCUAACUUCGUGCCAGCAGCCGCGGU